UGAGCAAUCUGCCCUUCUCAUCGGAANAAGCGUUGGAAACGACGUCUAAUGCCGAAUACGACCUCCUUUCGCAUGAUCGGAGGUGGAAAGCUCCGGCGGAGAAGGAUGAGCUCGCGGCCUAUCAGCUAGUUGGUGUGGGUAAUGGCCCACCAAGGCGACGACGGG
rnacentral:rRNA from 1 species